rnacentral:lncRNA from 1 species
CUUAAUAAAAUGUAGAAAGCCAUUCAAAAUGCUUUCUUUUUAAUUUAUGGUAUACCUUAUAAUAAUACAACUAGUCGGUUUUAAAUAAAAAUCUACGAUUGCGAUCUAGUUAAGCUGCAAAUAGUGAUUUUUUAUUUUGUUAAAAUUGUACCGCAGUUGAAGUCACACGAGGCACAUUUAACCGUCAUUCACUUAUUCACUACAAUAUUAAAGAUCACAACCCUUACCGUGAUUGCAAACGUUAACGCGACCACUAAUUAAACUAUGCCACAUUGCAACUCUUAUGUCAAGAAUUUAACGGAAUCAUGUUACCCUUUUGUAUAGCUUAUAUGUGUGACAGUUUGCUAGUGAGCUAACCAUAAACACAGGCACAACAAGCACACGUACCAAUCCCCACCACCCACAAAGAACAGAGCAACACACACACAAAGCGAAAGGUAAGAGGCAGAAAGAGUCAUUAUCUAAAUUGUUGCCAGCGUUAGGGACGAGGAGACAGCUAUAAGGACUUUGUGGUUUUAUUUGAUUGAGUGUGGUAAGCAUUACCACACAAUCAUGCAGUUAGAAUAUCAAAUGGUCGUUAGAUCGAAAUCUAAUCUGUUUUGCAAUGUAUAUUUUAUUUUUUAAAAAAUUGAAAUAUGGAACUUAAAAUCUAUACCAUUCCAUUUCGAUUUUGCUACCACCAUGUAUUGAUUAUGUAAAUGUGUAG